rnacentral:miRNA from 1 species
AAGGAUCCGGGGCUAGUUGGC